rnacentral:rRNA from 1 species
UUGACCUCGGAUCAGGUAGGAAUACCCGCUGAACUUAAGCAUAUCAAUAAGCGGAGGAAAAGAAACCAACAGGGAUUGCCCUAGUAACGGCGAGUGAAGCGGCAACAGCUCAAAUUUGAAAUCUGGCCCUCGGGUCCGAGUUGUAAUUUGUAGAGGAUGCUUUUGGUGCGGUGCCUUACGAGUUCCCUGGAACGGGACGCCUUAGAGGGUGAGAGCCCCGUACGUCUGGAUACCAAGCCUCUGUAAAGCUCCUUCGACGAGUCGAGUAGUUUGGGAAUGCUGCUCAAAAUGGGAGGUAAAUUUCUUCUAAAGCUAAAUACCGGCCAGAGACCGAUAGCGCACAAGUAGAGUGAUCGAAAGAUGAAAAGCACUUUGAAAAGAGGGUUAAAUAGCACGUGAAAUUGUUGAAAGGGAAGCGCUUGUGACCAGACUUUUCCCUGGCGGAUCAUCCGGUGUUCUCACCGGUGCACUCCUCCUGGGUCAGGCCAGCAUCGGUUUCCGUAGGGGGAUAAAGACGGUGGCAAUGUAGCUCCCCUCGGGGAGUGUUAUAGGCCGCCGUGUAAUACCCUUACGGGGACCGAGGUACGCGCAUCUGCAAGGAUGCUGGCGUAAUGGUCAUCAGCGACCCGUCUUGAAACACGGACCAAGGAGUCGAACAUUUGUGCGAGUGUUUGGGUGUCAAACCCUCACGCGUAAUGAAAGUGAACGGAGGUGAGAGCCCUCGGGUGCAUCAUCGACCGAUCCUGAUGUUUUCGGAUGGAUUUGAGUAGGAGCAUAACUGUUCGGACCCGAAAGAUGGUGAACUAUGCGUGGAUAGGGUGAAGCCAGAGGAAACUCUGGUGGAGGCUCGCAGCGGUUCUGACGUGCAAAUCGAUCGUCGAAUCUGCGCAUGGGGGCGAAAGACUAAUCGAACCAUCUAGUAGCUGGUUACCGCCGAAGUUUCCCUCAGGAUAGCAGUGUUGUCUUCAGUUUUAUGAGGUAAAGCGAAUGAUUAGGGACUCGGGGGCGCCUUUUAGCCUUCAUCCAUUCUCAAACUUUAAAUAUGUAAGAAGCCCUUGUUACUUAGUUGAACGUGGGCAUUCGAAUGUACCAACACUAGUGGGCCAUUUUUGGUAAGCAGAACUGGCGAUGCGGGAUGAACCGAACGCGGGGUUAAGGUGCCGGAGUGGACGCUCAUCAGACACCACAAAAGGCGUUAGUACAUCUUGACAGCAGGACGGUGGCCAUGGAAGUCGGAAUCCGCUAAGGACUGUGUAACAACUCACCUGCCGAAUGUACUAGCCCUGAAAAUGGAUGGCGCUCAAGCGUCCCACCCAUACCUCGCCCUCGGGGUAGAAACGAUGCCCCGAGGAGUAGGCGGCCGUGGGGGUCAGUGACGAAGCCUAGGGCGUGAGCCCGGGUCGAACGGCCUCUAGUGCAGAUCUUGGUGGUAGUAGCAAAUACUUCAAUGAGAACUUGAAGGACCGAAGUGGGGAAAGGUUCCAUGUGAACAGCGGUUGGACGUGGGUUAGCCGAUCCUAAGCCAUAGGGAAGUUCCGUUUCAAAGUGGGCACUUGUGCCCCGUGUGGCGAAAGGGAAGCCGGUCAAUAUUCCGGCGCCUGGAUCUGGGUUUUGCGCGGCAACGCAACCGAACGCGGAGACGACGGCGGGGGCCCUGGGCAGAGUUCUCUUUUCUUCUUAACGGUCUAUCACCCUGAAAUCGGUUUGUCCGGAGCUAGGGUUUAACGGCCGGAAGAGCCCGACACCUCUGUCGGGUCUGGUGCGCCCCCGACGUCCCUUGAAAAUCCGCGGGAGGGAAUAAUUCUCAGGCCAGGUCGUACUCAUAACCGCAGCAGGUCUCCAAGG